GACGAACGCUGGCGGCGUGCCUAAUACAUGCAAGUAGGACGCAGUUGCGAACGGGUGGGUAACGCGUAGGUAACUAGCUAUGAGUGGGGGCUAACUACUGGAAACGAUAGCUCAUACCGCAUACUAGUAGAUGGAACUACGGUGUAGUUGCUAGUAGGUCGGGUAAUGGCCUACCUAGGCAACGAUACAUAGCCGACCUGAGAGGGUGGUCGGCCAAACUUGGACUGAGACACCGCCCCGACUUCUACGGGAGGCAGCAGUAGGGAAUCUUCGGACAUUGGGGGAACCCUGACCGAGCAAAGGCGCGUGAGUGAAGAAGGUUUUCGGAUCGUAAAGCUCUUUUGUUAAGGAAGCGGUACUUAACCAGAAAGGGACGGCUAACUACGUGCCAGCAGCCGCGGUAAUAC
rnacentral:rRNA from 1 species